AUUUCAAAGAUGUUUUAACAAGCAUUUACACAACGUUCUUAUUUUAGGAACAUUUCAAACGACAUUUUAUAACAUUUCAAGGACGAGGUUAAAACCGGUUAAAAUACAGUAUUUAAAAUCGAUUUCAGUUAUCAAAAUGCAUACACACACACAUAUAUAUAUAUAUAUAACGAAUUAUAUGAUGCUCGUGACUUUUUUUUAUAUGGAAUUAACGAUACUAAAUGAAAUGAAACGGUUAAAAUAAGAAAUAGACUUAGUUUUGGAGUCUCUUCUCUCUGAGCGCUUCUUGUCAUACACCGUUGGCUAUACGUUGCAUUUAAAAUUAAAAGAAACACAUAUUCUAGAUUAUCUUGUAAUUUCAACGAUAUAAACUGUUGUAAAUUCAACUGAACGAAAGCAAUAACGAUACGUGUUUACAACUAGCUACGUUGUUAAUAACUACAUAUGGUCCUACAAGCCUUCACAUAUAUCAAUAGUUUAAAAUAAACAUGUAAGCAAAGAAGAUGAGAAAAAAAUAUACGUUUGCCUACAUAUAAAUACAUAUUUUUAGCUUCCUAAAUACAGCAAAAACUUGGAGAAAAAUGAAAUAACAUCGCUAAGAUUUAUAAUUUUAUAAGUAGUGUGUAUCCUUUGUAUAACGGAUGUUGAAUUAGAGUCACCUCCCCUGAUGUACUGACACCUGACAAUCGAGUGAUGUUCUGCAGUAGUUCCACUUGAUUUACUAAACCUAGACCUACUUGCACGAAUACACAUACCAUAUAAAUAAAUAUAUAUAUCAGAAGUUUAGAAUUUUUUUUGUAGUCCGCUGUUCAUUUGCCGGUACUAUUUAGCAGUAAUUUCUGUCAACGGAGUCAGUAUACCCUUUUUGUCUAAUUUUUAUUUUAUUAUUACUAUUAUUAUAAUCCAAAACUAUUGAAAAGGUUGCAAGACGCAACGAAAAUUUUAGAAAAAUAAAAAAAAGAAAUAAGUGGAAAUUUUACCGCUAAACCUUACAAAGGAACAUAAAUGGCAUCUCUCUCGCCGGUCUGAAAGAGGCUAUAAAGAACAUCAGUACUGGCACUUUCUACAGACCAAGCAAGUAAAAAGUGUUUGCGGUGUGAAUAACAAUUACAAAGUAAUGGAAAAGCCAAUUAUGUGGAAGAAAAUUAUGCUUUCCUUUCUGCAACCAUAACCAUGCAUCACUACUAUAUGCUGCAACUAUCUUUGGGAAUCUACCAUGCAAUGCCUUCUCCCACCAGUCAGAGAUGUACUUGCAUAGCAAGGGACCUGAUCUGAGAUCGUGUGCUGGAAUGAAAACAAUUGCAGCAUGGAAGGUGUUUAUAAGCCAUUUAAAAUAACACACAAAAACCGUUAGAUUCACUUCAACAUUUAAAUUUAAUUUGUCAAAAUAUUUUCGUCGCUUUGAGACCGCAACCUG